rnacentral:rRNA from 1 species
UACGUAGGAGGCAAGCGUUGUCCGGAAUUACUGGGCGUAAAGCGCGUGUAGGUGGUGGGACAAGUCUGCUGUGAAAGCGCCUGGCUUAACCGGGCGAGGUCGGCGGAAACUGUCCGACUCGAGGACGGUAGAGGGGGGUGGAAUUCCCGGUGUAGUGGUGAAAUGCGUAGAGAUCGGGAGGAACACCUGUGGCGAAGGCGGUUCUCUGGGCCUUACCUGACGCUGAGGAGCGAAAGCGUGGGGAGCGAACAGG